rnacentral:piRNA from 1 species
CAGGAUGUAAAUAAAGAAGUGAUGG